AACGAACGCUGGCGGCAUGCCUAACACAUGCAAGUCGAAUGAGACCUUCGGGUCUAGUGGCGCACGGGUGCGUAACGCGUGGGAACAUGCCCUUAGGUUCGGAAUAACUCCCCGAAAGGGGUGCUAAUACCGGAUAAUGUCUUCGGACCAAAGAUUUAUCGCCUUUGGAUGGGCCCGCGUUGGAUUAGCUAGUUGGUAGGGUAAAAGCCUACCAAGGCGACGAUCCAUAGCUGGUCUGAGAGGAUGAUCAGCCACACUGGGACUGAGACACGGCCCAGACUCCUACGGGAGGCAGCAGUGGGGAAUAUUGGACAAUGGGCGAAAGCCUGAUCCAGCAAUGCCGCGUGAGUGAUGAAGGCCUUAGGGUUGUAAAGCUCUUUUACCCGGGAUGAUAAUGACAGUACCGGGAGAAUAAGCUCCGGCUAACUCCGUG
rnacentral:rRNA from 1 species